rnacentral:rRNA from 1 species
GGGUCAGUAGGUUGGUCGUGCCACUGGUAUGCACUGGCCUUACUGAUUCCUCCUUCUUGAAGAACUGUGAUGUCAUUUACUUGGUGUUGCAGGGAAACAGGACUGUUACUUUGAAAAAAUUAGAGUGUUCAAAGCAGGCGUGCGCCUGAAUAGAUUAGCAUGGAAUAAUGGAAUAGGACUUUGGUCUUAUUUUGUUGGUUUCCGAGACCGCAGUA